rnacentral:rRNA from 1 species
UUGAUACUGUUUGACUUGAAUAUGGAUGAGGUAGGCGGAAUGUGUAGUGUGGCGGUGAAAUGCUUAGAUAUUACACAGAACACCGAUUGCGAAGGCAGCUUACUAAUCCAUGAUUGACGCUGAGGCACGAAAGCGUGGGGAUCAAACAGGAUUAGAUACCCUGGUAGUCCACGCUGUAAACGAUGAUCACUCGCUGUUUGCGAUACACAGUAAGCGGCUAAGCGAAAGCGUUAAGUGAUCCACCUGGGGAGUACGAUCGCAAGGUUGAAACUCAAAGGAAUUGACGGGGGCCCGCACAAGCGGAGGAACAUGUGGUUUAAUUCGAUGAUACGCGAGGAACCUUACCUGGGCUUAAAUGGGGAGUGACAGCUGCUGAAAGGUGGUUUUCUUCGGACACUCUCCAAGGUGCUGCAUGGUUGUCGUCAGCUCGUGCCGUGAGGUGUCGGGUUAAGUCCCAUAACGAGCGCAA